GUCUUUUAAAAGAUGGAAUAUGGUUUCAGAGAACCAAUGAAAUCGGUUUUUUUUAGACUGAUUCCUUGUUUUCUUUUCAUUAUUUCUGGAACAAUGGGAUUUUUCUUUUUUGCUUGGAGUAGCAAUUGGAAUUCUGGUCCCUAAAUCUGGAAGCAAGCUGCACAGUCGUUUUUCACAUGAAUUACCACUACAUGCAGCAAAAAUUGCAUCUGAAGUACAACGUAACAACUCUGCUCUUCCAUAAAAUUACCUCGAUAAUCUUUCUAGCAAUUUCAUUUGCAUCCGGAAUGACAUACGUUGCUUUGGGAAUUACUAAAGAACAAGUAUUCUUCGUGGAAGGACCUGGAUAUUACUCUUCUGCUGUAGCUGCCUUUUUAACGAGUGUUUGGUCAGGCAUCUGGUUGUGGGAUGCGAGGAAAUACGAAAUUCUACUGGAAGCAGCAUUACACGCAGGAAUUUCCGAAAAUACUUAAGUUUUCAGAUACUGAAAUUAUGUUCAUUUUACGCUGUAAAAAUAAAUUCACUCACUAGUUAUUCUAGUAUUAAGUA